rnacentral:rRNA from 1 species
GAUGAACGCUGGCGGUGUGCCUAAUACAUGCAAGUCGAGCGACCAGACGAUGAGCUUUCUCCUUUGCGGUUAGCGGCUGACGGGUGAGUAACACGUGGAUAACCUUCCUAUUAUACUUGGAUAACUUCGUGAAACCGCAGCUAAUACCGCCUCAUAUAUUCAACCGCAUGGUUCAAUAGUUCAUGACGCCUUUGCUGUCACUUUUAGAUGGUUCCGCGUCGCAUUAGCUAGUUGGUAAGGUAACGGCUUACCAAGGCGACGAUGCGUAGCUGACCUGAGAGGAUGAUCGGCCACACUGGAACUGAGACACGGUCCAGACUCCUACGGGAGGCAGCAGUAGGGAAUAUUCCGCAAUGGGCGAAAGCUUGACGGAGCAACGCCGCGUGAGUGAUGAAGGUCUUCGGAUCGUAAAACUCUGUUAUUAGGAAAGAAAAAAUGUGGGAGUAACUAUGCACGUCUUGACGGUACCUAAUCAGAAAGCAACGGCUAACUACGUG